AUUGAACGCUGGCGGCAUGCCUAACACAUGCAAGUCGAACGGCAGCACAGCAGUAGCAAUACUGUGGGUGGCGAGUGGCGGACGGGUGAGGAAUACGUCGGAAUCUGCCCAGUCGUGGGGGAUAACUAGCCGAAAGGUUAGCUAAUACCGCAUACGACCGAGAGGUGAAAGCGGGGGACCGCAAGGCCUCGCGCGAUUGGAUGAGCCGACGUCGGAUUAGCUAGUUGGCGGGUAAAGGCCCACCAAGGCGACGAUCCGUAGCUGGUCUGAGAGGAUGAUCAGCCACACUGGAACUGAGACACGGUCCAGACUCCUACGGGAGGCAGCAGUGGGGAAUAUUGGACAAUGGGCGCAAGCCUGAUCCAGCAAUGCCGCGUGUGUGAAGAAGGCCUUCGGGUUGUAAAGCACUUUUAUCAGGAACGAAAAGCGUUGGAUUAAUACUCUGACGUGCUGACGGUACCUGAGGAAUAAGCACCGGCUAACUUCGUG
rnacentral:rRNA from 1 species